GAAUUUUUUAACGUCAGAUUUUUCGUCCAUAAAUGCCGAACAUAACCCUAAAUCCUGACAAUAAAGGCAAAUGUCAAACGAUAAAGGUAAAUGCAAAAAUAAUUAAAUGUCGACUCGAUAGAUUUUGAUCAAACAAAAUGCCAGUGUGUAGCGCAUGAUCUCAGGACUCCGACAAAGCCAUUAGUUUUCCAAUUGGACCAAUAUCUCCUGAGAGAUAAGACUUUAAAAAUGUUAAAUUUUUACAC